ACGAAGGGGGCUAGCGUUGUUCGGAUUUACUGGGCGUAAAGCGCACGUAGGCGGUUUGUUAAGUCAGGGGUGAAAUCCUGGAGCUCAACUCCAGAACUGCCUUUGAUACUGGAGAGCUUGAGUCCGGGAGAGGUGAGUGGAACUCCGAGUGUAGAGGUGAAAUUCGUAGAUAUUCGGAAGAACACCAGUGGCGAAGGCGGCUCACUGGCCCGGUACUGACGCUGAGGUGCGAAAGCGUGGGGAGCAAACAGGA
rnacentral:rRNA from 1 species